rnacentral:rRNA from 1 species
CGCAAGACCAAAGAGGGGGACCUUCGGGCCUCUUGCCAUCAGAUGUGCCCAGAUGGGAUUAGCUAGUAGUGGGGUAACGGCUCACUANGCGAAGAUCCCUAGCUGGUCUGAGAGGAUGACCAGCACACUGGAACUGAGACACGGUCCAGACUCCUACGGGAGGCAGCAGUGGGGAAUAUUGCACAAUGGGCGCAAGCCUGAUGCAGCCAUGCCGCGUGUAUCGAAGAAGGCCUUCGGGUUGUAAAGUACUUUCAGCGGGGAGGAAGGUGUUGGGUUAAUAACCACAGCAAUUGACGUUUACCCGGAGAAGAAGCACCGGUAAUCCGUGCCAGCAGCCGCGGUAAUACGGAGGGUGCAAGCGUUAAUCCGGAAUUUACUGGGGCGUUAAAGGCGCACGGCAGGCGGGUCUGGUCAAAGUCCGGGAUGUGGAAACUCCCCCGGGUUCAAACUUGGGGAACUGGCAUCCGAAAACNUUGGGCAGGGCUAAAAAGUCCCUCGGAAAAGGGGGGGGUCAAAAAUUCCCCACGGGUGGUAACACCGGGUCGAAAAUUGGCCGUACAAGAUUCCCGGAGGGAAUAACCCCGGUGGCCAAAGGCGGCC